AGAAAAUAGAGGAACAAACAGGAA
rnacentral:snRNA from 1 species